ACUCCUGCGGGAGGCAGCAGUGGGGAAUAUUGGACAAUGGGCGCAAGCCUGAUCCAGCCAUGCCGCGUGAGUGAUGAAGGCCCUCGGGUUGUAAAGCUCUUUCACCGGUGAAGAUAAUGACGGUAACCGGAGAAGAAGCCCCGGCUAACUUCGUGCCAGCAGCCGCGGUAAUACGAAGGGGGCUAGCGUUGUUCGGAUUUACUGGGCGUAAAGCGCACGUAGGCGGACUAUUAAGUCAGGGGUGAAAUCCCGGGGCUCAACCCCGGAACUGCCUUUGAUACUGGUAGUCUUGAGUUCGGGAGAGGUGAGUGGAAUUCCGAGUGUAGAGGUGAAAGUCGUAGAGAUUCGGAGGAACACCAGUGGCGAAGGCGGCUCACUGGCUCGAUACUGACGCUGAGGUGCGAAAGCGUGGGGAGCAAACAGGAUUAGAUACCCGAGUAGUCC
rnacentral:rRNA from 1 species